rnacentral:rRNA from 1 species
GGUCCUACGGGGGGCAGCAGUAGGGAAUCUUCGGCAAUGGGCGAAAGCCUGACCGAGCAACGCCGCGUGAAUGAAGAAGGCCUUCGGGUUGUAAAAUUCUGUUAUAAGGGAAGAAAGGUGAUAGGAGGAAAUGACUAUCAAUUGACGGUACCUUAUGAGAAAGCCACGGCUAACUACGUGCCAGCAGCCGCGGUAAUACGUAGGGAGCGAGCGUUGUCCGGAUUUACUGGGUGUAAAGGGUGCGCAGGCGGCUCUGCAAGUCAGGCGUGAAAGCUAGGGGCUCAACCCCUAAAUUGCGCUUGAAA